UUUGUCAUAUUUGUUGAAACUGUCUUUAUACACCAUUACAUAUUGGUUAGUUAGGUGCUAAAAAGUCAGGUGUCUGUAGUCCUCUCGGGCCUGCAGUAAACACAGACACUUGUUCCAUUCGGACCGAAUGCAAUGAUUGGCUGGGUUACUGUCACUCUCCCUCGCUCUCAUGGCUACCAGACAGGUCAACUGCAGAUUUGGAGUCUUCCACAACCCUGUACUCCUCACCAGUAUACGCUAAUCGGACCAUGCUAGCUGGCCUAGAUCGCAACAGGAGAAAAGCUGAUGAUUCAGUAUACAUACAUCAGUCCAGCAAGGUGUACAACAAAAAGUCCAUGGAGUGAAGCUUGUACUCAUUGAAGUUGGAGAAGGACUAUAGUUACAUUGCAGACCUCCAGAGAACUCUCUCCCUUUGAUGAUAGUCUACUACUGAGGAGAUGCCUAGAAGCAGAACCAGGAGACCUGAUGAUCCCCGUCAACAUGGGGUUCAGUCAGGUGUCCCUGCUCCAACUGUAUUGCCAGAUACUGCAAAACGUACAACAAAAAGUAAUCUGGUUGGUUUUGAAAUGUGGUAAUCAUGUCAGAGAGAUGAUUGUGAUAUAUUAAAUUAAAUAAGUGAUUAUA